GUACACGCUGUGACUAGCAUAUCAAUAAGCGGAGGAAAAGAAACUAACAAGGAUUCCCCUAGUAACGGCGAGUGAAGCGGGAAGAGCUCAAAUUUGAAAUCUUAAAGAGUUUCCCUUUACGAAUUGUAGUUUAAAGAAGUGUUUUCUGUUGAGGUUUUGGUAAAAGUUCUUUGGGAUAGGACAUCAUAGAGGGUGAGAAUCCCGUAUUUGACCUUUACUUUCAACUUUGUGAUACACUUUCAAAGAGUCGGAUUGUUUGGGAAUGCAGUCCAAAAUGGGUGGUAAAUUUCAUCUAAAGCUAAAUAUUGGCGAGAGACCGAUAGCGAACAAGUACCGUGAGGGAAAGAUGAAAAGAACUUUGAAAAGAGAGUUAAACAGUACGUGAAAUUGUCAAAAGGGAAGCGUUUGACACCAGUGUUGUUUUUCUGAAAAUCAAUUAAAGAACUGUUUAUGCUAAGCUGUUUAGACUUUAUCAGCUAUCUGUUUAGUUUUGAGCUUUUCUUUAAUGCACUUUUCAGUUAACAAGUCAACAUCAAUUUCUUUUGCUGUAAAAAAGCUUGAGGAAGGUGGCUUGAGAUUCGUCUUAAGUGUUUAUAGCCUCUUGCCUAUGCAGUCGGAGAGAUUGAGGUCUGCAGCGUAGAUCCUUCGGGGCUAAAUGCAUUUGUGCUAAGUUAUAGCAUUUUAUAGACAACUUGUUGACUAUGAUUUGUCUUGUAGCUUACUCGCUUAUGUUAUUUUACCUACGCUUAGGAUGUUGAAGAUGUAGCACAUCAU
rnacentral:rRNA from 1 species